rnacentral:lncRNA from 1 species
UGGUAAUUCUGAUUCUGUUAUCUGACAUCAACUAUUUCAGGUUUUUGAUAUUCAUAGAUUUGAUAAGCAUGUUUUAUAUAUUGUGCAUUAUGUAAUUCAACAGCAAAAGUGUUGGACAAAAUAGGACCUAAGGAAGUGUCCUGCAGCAUGCCAUGAGAGAUCCUUUAGGUCCCAGUGCCUCAAGGCUCCCAUAACCUACAAAAUUAUAUGUAUAUGAAAGAGGAAAAAUGAAGAGAUUCGUUAUGGAUAUUAAGGAAAAGAGAAAGGAGACUCUCGAAUAAGCUAUUUACCUUCUAAGAACAAGAAGAAAUAUGGAAGGAGAUAGCUGAUAAGGACAGCAAAGUAAUUUCCAGGAAACCACUGAAAACAAAAGCCAGUAAAAGAAUUCAAAUAAAUAAAGAUAACUCAAAACAAAAUCCCUAAAGAACCAGCUAUAAGGAAACUGUGGGAUGCUCUCAUUCAUCACCACUAUACUCGGCUUCUUUUGAAAAAUUAUAGUAUUAAAAACUCCCUUUUUAUAGAUAUGUAAGGACAAAAAAAUCAAUAUGUGACUCAUGAGAAGCAAUGAAGCCUUUACUCUUUCACAGCCCCCUUCAACACUGGACCUCAAGAAAGGGAUCGGGAGAGAAGACAUUUAUCCUCCCACAAAAACCCUCCUUCUGGGCCCAGUGAAGCACAGCUAUAACUUAACCAGGAUCUUGAUACUCUCUAUGAAGUUGUUAAUUUUAUUUGUACCAGACCAGAAGCAACCAUUUAUUUGCAUGAAGACAACUAUAAGAAAGGUUAAAAAUGAAAUGAAAUAGUUUCUCAUUUGGGAGCAUUUUUCUAUGUCUAAAAUAAAAAAACUGAUCCCAGUGGAGAUGGCCUCA